AUCCAACUGAAAUGGGCAAAUGAUUAGAAUAGAAAUUCCUCAGAAAAAGACAUGCAUAUGGCUAACAAGUAUAUGAAAAAAUGCUCAACAUCACUAAUCAUCAGAGAAAUGCAAAUCAAAAUCACAUUGAGAUAUCAUCUCA